GGAUGAACGCUGGCGGUCUGCUUACACAUGCAAGUCGAACGGGCUCUUCGGAGCUAGUGGCGGACGGGUGAGUAACGCGUGAGGAUCUGCCUUCAGGAGGGGGAUAACGACUGGAAACGGUCGCUAAUACCGCAUAUGCCUACGGGUGAAAGAUUUAUCGCCUGGAGAUGAACUCGCGUCAGAUUAGCUAGUUGGUGGGGUAAGAGCCUACCAAGGCGACGAUCUGUAGCUGGUCUGAGAGGAUGAUCAGCCACACUGGGACUGAGACACGGCCCAGACUCCUACGGGAGGCAGCAGUGGGGAAUUUUCCGCAAUGGGCGCAAGCCUGACGGAGCAAGACCGCGUGCGGGAUGACGGCCUAAUGGUUGUAAACCGCUUUUCUCUGGGAAGAUGAUGACGGUACCAGAGGAAUCAGCCUCGGCUAACUCCGUGCCAGCAGCCGCGGUAAUACGGAGGAGGCAAGCGUUAUCCGGAAUUAUUGGGCGUAAAGCGUCCGUAGGUGGUUAUUCAAGUCUGCUGUCAAAGCGUGGGGCUUAACUCCAUAGAGGCAGUGGAAACUGGAUGACUUGAGUGCGGUAGGGGUCGAGGGAAUUCCCAGUGUAGCGGUGAAAUGCGUAGAUAUUGGGAAGAACACCAGUGGCGAAAGCGCUCGACUGGGCCUGCACUGACACUGAGGGACGAAAGCUAGGGGAGCGAAAGGGAUUAGAUACCCCUGUAGUCCUAGCCGUAAACGAUGGAUACUAGGUGUUGCUCGUCAUCGACCCGAGCAGUUGCCGUAGCCAACGCGUUAAGUAUCCCGGCUGGGGAGUACGCUCGCAAGAGUGAAGCUCAAAGGAAUUGACGGGGGCCCGCACAAGCGGGGGAGUAUGUGGUU
rnacentral:rRNA from 1 species